AACAUGAGGAAAGCUUGCUUUCCUUGAUGACGACUGGCGCACGGGUGAGUAACGCGUAUCCAACCUUCCCAUAACUACGGGAUAACCCGUUGAAAGACGGCCUAAUACCGUAUGACAUCGUUUGCUGACAUCAAAUAACGAUUAAAGGUUUAGCGGUUAUGGAUGGGGAUGCGUCUGAUUAGCUUGUUGGCGGGGUAACGGCCCACCAAGGCGACGAUCAGUAGGGGUUCUGAGAGGAAGGUCCCCCACAUUGGAACUGAGACACGGUCCAAACUCCUACGGGAGGCAGCAGUGAGGAAUAUUGGUCAAUGGGCGAGAGCCUGAACCAGCCAAGUAGCGUGCAGGACGACGGCCCUAUGGGUUGUAAACUGCUUUUAUGUGGGGAUAAAGUGCGUGACGUGUCAUGCAUUGCAGGUACCACAUGAAUAAGGACCGGCUAAUUCCGUGCCAGCAGCCGCGGUAAUACGGAAGGUCCGGGCGUUAUCCGGAUUUAUUGGGUUUAAAGGGAGCGUAGGCUGUCUAUUAAGCGUGUUGUGAAAUUUACCGGCUCAACCGGUGGCUUGCAGCGCGAACUGGUCGACUUGAGUAUGCAGGAAGUAGGCGGAAUCCAUGGUGUAGCGGUGAAAUGCUUAGAUAUCAUGACGAACUCCGAUUGCGCAGGCAGCUUACUGUAGCAUAACUGACGCUGAUGCUCGAAAGUGCGGGUAUCAAA
rnacentral:rRNA from 1 species